AUUGAACGCUGGCGGCAGGCCUAACACAUGCAAGUCGAGCGGGGUUUUCGGACCUAGCGGCGGACGGGUGAGUAAUGCGUAGGAAGCUGCCCGAUAGAGGGGGAUACCAGUUGGAAACGAAUGUUAAUACCGCAUAAUGUCUACGGACCAAAGUGUGGGACCUUCGGGCCACAUGCAAUCGGAUGCGCCCAAGUGGGAUUAGCUAGAUGGGGAGGUAAUGGCUCACCAAGGCGACGAUCUCUAGCUGGUUUGAGAGGAUGAUCAGCCACACUGGAACUGAAACACGGUCCAGACUCCUACGGGAGGCAGCAGUGGGGAAUAUUUGACAAUGGGCGCAAGCCUGAUCCAGCCAUGCCGCGUGUGUGAAGAAGGCCUUCGGGUUGUAAAGCACUUUCAGCGAGGAGGAAGGGUGGUGUGUUAAUAGCACAUCAUUUUGACGUUACUCGCAGAAGAAGCACCGGCUAACUCUGUGCCAGCAGCCGCCGUAAGAC
rnacentral:rRNA from 1 species